UAAAAUGCUGUUGGAUGUCGCACUGAAACAAUGAAUACUCAUAUCAUUAAGGUCAGUUCCCAAAUCAACACAACAGAGAAAUUUUAUGUUAGAAUAGCUUUGUACAAAGUCAUAUCAGCAGAGGGAUUAUUGUUUUUGUCAAUAUAGGCCUCUGACAUUGGCCGAUUUUCUUGAUUAGCCAUCUCUUCAGGGCGAAAAAGAUUAUACUGGGUAAAGCAGCAGCUUUUAUUCAGUGCAAGUGUUCUUUCCAUUUCUUCUUGUUCAAACAUUGCAAUGAAUGAGAACGUGAACGCUAAUGGAUGUUUUAUAGACCAGUAUCAUGAGGUAUAGCAAAUGCUCCUACUUACAGAUUUGCAGAUUCUGCAGAAUAAUGAUGACAGAUUCACCAAAGAGUUCAUACCACUUGCAAUAAAUGAAAAUCAAGGCAGUUUCAACCUAUAUCUAAGAAGAAAAUCAGUUGAUCUUAAACUUACAUUCUACAUCUACAACUAAGGGA
rnacentral:misc_RNA from 1 species